rnacentral:lncRNA from 1 species
CACACAUAAUUCACUCACACACUCUCCGAUUCUUAUUUUGUGUUGGUAUUGACAGGGAGGCUAGAGAAUCAAACCAACCUCUACAAAAUCUACUCAUUCAAGGCACGCCCACAAGGUGUUCGACAAAUUGCUCCAACCAAGUUUGGGGGUCGAUUCUCGUCUAAUUUUUACCGGCACCCAUUCUUGAGCCCGUACCCGAGCUUUCCGAUGAGGACGAGCGUGAGAGAGCGAGAGAGGAGCACCCCGAUCACAUCGACUCCGAAUAAAUCAGGUGUUUUCUAUCCUUAAACUUUGUGCUAAUUUCGUUGAGGGCAACGGAAAUUUUAAGUUUGGGGGUGAAAAACAUGUUAUUUUUGUGCUUAUUUGUUUUAGUUUGCAUGC